AGUUUGGAUUUAGGUGGCGAGUAGAAAAAGAAGUAAUUUCAGGAAAAGGUCAAUUUUUUUGUGGUAAUAAAUGUUGUGAUAUAAAAGAAGGCUUGAAGAGUUGGGAAGUUAAUUUUGGUUACAUUGAGCAUGGUGAAAAGAGAAAUGCACUUGUUAAAUUAAGGUUAUGCCAAGAAUGUUCCCUUAAAUUAAAUUUUCAUCACAGGAGAAAAGAAAUAAAGUCAAAAAAAAGAAAGGCUAAAAAAGAUUGUGAAGAGUCAUCAUAUAAAAAAUCUAGAUUGUCUUCUACAGAAGAGGCCUCCAAGAAAAAAGAUAAAGGGCAUUCGUCCUUAAAGAAAUCAGAAGAUUCUGUAACUAGAAAUGCUGAUGAGGAAGAAAGUGCUUCAGAAUCUGAGCUUUGGAAGGGUCCACUACCAGGGACAGAUGAAAAAUCACAGGAAGAAGAAUUUGAUGAGUAUUUUCACGAUUUGUUUCUGUGAAAUGAGAGAGAGAAAGCCUGUAUUUCUGAAUAUGAAAGUACACUUUGAAACUUCACGGAAGCUUAUCUACAAUCUUCAUGAACGUUUAUCUGCCAUCUUGAUUGGUUUGUCUUUGGUAAUAAACAUUCAGCCACUCUCAGGAAAGACACAUGCUUGGGAAGCUCAUUAGUUGUGUUAGAGACACUUUUCCCUGUUCCUUCUAUAUCUUCAGUUGCUUUUCAACAACUCUGUUUCACCAAUAGUUCCUUAGUAUAUGAUAUACUAUUUUAAGUGACACUUGAACAUGAAAUGAUUUGCAUUAAACUGCACAAUAAGCAAUUAGUGUCUUUAAAAUUGCUAGUAUUGAAUUUUUCCUUUUAUUAAACAAUCAUUAUUCACUAAGUCUGCAAGUAUUUUCUAGGCUUCUGUUAUGUAGGAGGCACUGCACUGGGCAUUGUCAUAAAAGAACUAUCUAGAAAAUAAUUGUGCAGUCAUUUCUGAGCUUCUGUCAGAAAGCAGUAAAUUAAUUAGGUUUAUUAAUGUUAAACAUUAUGUCAAAGUCCCCUCCUAUCUUGAAGGUAUUUUUUUCAUCUCACUCCUUAUAGUGAGUAAAAAGGAAUCUUGAUUUCUGAGGAUAAGUGUUUGAAAUGUCCAAUAGCAAAAUUGAUACAAAAUUGAUAUUAGUAGUGGAAUAUAUAUAGUUAAGUAUUCUUAUAAAAAUAUAUU